AGUGAACGCUGGCGGUAGGCCUAACACAUGCAAGUCGAACGGCAGCACAGUAAGAGCUUGCUCUUACGGGUGGCGAGUGGCGGACGGGUGAGGAAUACAUCGGACUCUACUUUUUCGUGGGGGAUCACGUAGGGAAACUUACGCUAAUACCGCAUACGACCUACGGGUGAAAGCAGGGGAUCUUCGGACCUUGCGCGAUUGAAUGAGCCGAUGCCGGAUUAGCUAGUUGGCGGGGUAAAGGCCCACCAAGGCGACGAUCCGUAGCUGGUCUGAGAGGAUGAUCAGCCACACUGGAACUGAGACACGGUCCAGACUCCUACGGGAGGCAGCAGUGGGGAAUAUUGGACAAUGGGCGCAAGCCUGAUCCAGCCAUACCGCGUGGGUGAAGAAGGCCUUCGGGUUGUAAAGCCCUUUUGUUGGGAAAGAAAAGCAGCAGGUUAAUACCCCGCUGUUCUGACGGUACCCAAAGAAUAAGCACCGGCUAACUUCGUG
rnacentral:rRNA from 1 species